rnacentral:lncRNA from 1 species
AAAUCAUUUUCAAUUAGGUUAUACUAAUACAAUUUUUGAUGACAAGAACACAAAAAAUUAGUAAAAGCAUAUAAGAGGUACAGUUUAUAGAAUAAUGGGUAUACACACAAAAUAAAGGUAAAACGAAUAACGUAUAGAGACUAAAAGCCACCUUUUAAUAAAAUUAUAGAGAAUAAUUAAGAGGUAAGAAAAAUGCAAACACAAUUGAAGACCCCC